GAUGAGCAGUGCCAUGUCCACGCCCAGGACUCGAACCAAUGAAACACUGGGCCGCCUGCAGCAGAGCGCACGAACUUAACCACUCAGCCACGGGGCCAGACCCUAAGAUGUCAAAGAUUUUGAGUAUCAGUCAUAGAGAUUAUUCAAAUCAUCUCUGCGUCUCAGACUUGCAUCUUCCUUGACUCUGAAAACCAUCCCGACAAGCUAGCGUGUCAAACGUCCAGCUAGCAGCAUCACUGCAAGUACCUCAGACAGGGCUCUGAUGAUUCUCCAGUCUUCUCUUGCCAAGCCGGGAGGUGUCACAGCUACUUUAGUCUGCUGAGCUCGGCCCUCAGUAUUGACAUAAGUAGCAGACUUCUCUGUGUAAGCAGCGCCUGGGAGAAUAACAUCAGCUAUAGGAGCUCCAACAUCACCGUGAUGUCCUAUGAAAAGACGGAAAACGGCAAACUACAUUUUAGUAAAAAAACUGAUUAGGUAUUACACACGAACAUAGUAUACAUCCUUUUUAAAUCCCAUUUUUUAAAUUACAAAAGUGUUUUAAAAAUUAAAAUCAUAUAGUACUGAAGUGUUUGGAGUAAAAAUUAAGCCCACGUUACCCACCAGGAAAACUACUGUUAACACAUUUAGUAUGUAUCUUCCCAGAUUAUUUUUCACAAAUAUGGAAAUAUGUAUAAUAUCAUACAAACGUAUAUAAUGAGCAACUAGGUAUAUUAUUUCUCUUGAUGAUUACAAAGUGGAAAUGCUCAGAUGUAUAUUAGCGAAAUUUCGUAAAGUAGACUGAAAUAGUGAAGGAACGAAAAGUGUACAAUAAUAUGACAGUAAUAAUGUUGAAAAGGGCAUAAACAGAAAAUUAUGGAAAACAGUAUACUGAAAGACAUCACUCAUUAAUAGUUUAAGAAAGCUGCUAGAAGAAAAAAGAAAUGAGUUAGAUGAAAGAAAGCUACAGAACAAUAAACAAAGUUUCAUCUCAUUUGUGUACAUGUUUGUAUAGCCACAGGAAAAUGUAUGAAGCAUGCGUAUCAAAACCAUCAGCAGUGAUUAUCUCUGGAUAAGACUAGGGACAGGAUUUUAGUUUAUGCAUUUGGUUUAACUUCAUCAAACUAAAGAUAGAAAAUAUUAUAUAAUGCUUUUUAUGUGCCAAGGCAAAAAGCCUAUUAUGAAUUUAUACUGAUUAUAUGUAAAAUGAAGUGGAAAGUUAUGUAAUAUUUUUCUCUGUAAAAUAUCCUGGAUUAUUCUGAACUCCAUUUUAUUCCAGAGAAACCUGAUUACAUUUAUAAUGAAUGAGAAUUCAAGAAAAUGAGUCAACUGCAAAAAACCAAAAGGGCACUGUUAAAUAUAAUUCAUUAAAUGCCCUGCAACACAGGACUUAUGAUUUUUUAACUUUUUACACUGUUGAUAAAAAGUGCUUUCUCCUGAUUAUAUAAUAACCCUAAAUAUUCUUUGAAAAGCUGCAUUUAAUGUUACAUUAAUAUUUCAUUGUAUAAAUAACCAUAAUUUAACCAUUCCUGUUACUGCGGGCAUUUAGGUUUCUUCUAGUUCUUUGUUAUUAAAGAACAUAAGGUAAUAAUUCUUAAUAGCAAUAUCAACUAUGUAACAAAUAAAACCUAUGAUUUGAUUUAAAAAAAUACUGGGCUGUGUGUGUGGAAAAUUCCUGAAUGGAAAGUAUUCAAUCCACUAAAUAUAUUGCUGUACUGAUUCGAAUACA